rnacentral:misc_RNA from 1 species
UACGAACUGUGCGAACGUUAUUCGGAAUCACUGGGCUUAAAGGGUGCGUAGGCGGCCGACCAGGUCCGGUGUGAAAUCCCACGGCUCAACCGUGGAAUGGCAUUGGAAACCGGCCGGCUUGAGUGAGAUAGGGGUGUGCGGAACUGCCAGUGGAGCGGUGAAAUGUGUUGAUAUUGGCAGGAACGCCGGUGGCGAAAGCGGCACACUGGGUCUCAACUGACGCUCAGGCACGAAAGCCAGGGUAGCGAACGGG